rnacentral:tRNA from 1 species
CAAGGGAUAGUUUAACAAGAAUUCCGGUUUUGGGGGCCGGAGGCGAGGGUUGAACCCCCUCUCUCUUGA